GGUUGUUCAAAUUAAAAAAUAAAAUAUAAAGACUGAACAAUCAUUCAUACCGGAGAUCUGUGUCAUGAGUCUGCUGUUUUUCCCUCUGAGUCUAAUUGCAGGUGGGCGUGUCGGAGAGCCUCAGCUGCUGCUGAUUUCCCAUCAGCAAGGCCAGGGGAUUUAAGGAGUGGCGUGUCCACACUCCAGCGCCGGUUGAUACUCUCACCUGGGUAGCUUCCAGCCUUGUCCUGAAAUUGUACAAUUUUUGCAAUCUUGCUCUGCUUGUCCUGUUUAAUUACCUGUCCUGCCUUCCCCAGUUCUACUACCAAGUCUCAGCCUGAGUUCUCUUCUGUCCUGGAGUGUGUACCUCAGCCUCGCCACUCAUUCUUCCCUGGUCAUCUGCUCUCCGCCGUUCACCUGCUCUGGAUAUUCAUCAACCGCAUCCAUCCAGCCUCAACCUAAUUCUCCAUCAACCAGACCUGACCUACCCUCUCCCCACAUUCAUCCACUGUUCUGGCUCCACCUCGACCCGGUUUCCGCUUCGUCUAAGUUCGCCCUUAGUUCCCGUUGGCUUUUCCAGCACCCGUUUGGAGCUGCGUCCUUCGUUAUUAUUAUUUUUUCAUUUAAUAAAAUCAAAUUCAUAUUUUCUUA